rnacentral:lncRNA from 1 species
UAAGUCUCAGGGGUCUCUCCCUAGAGUGAGAAAAAAAGGAAAGGAAAAGAGGGAGGGAGAGAGAAGGGAACUUGUUGUCAUCAAGUCAUCUCUGAAUAUCUUGGCAUGGAAUAAUGUCAAAAAUGUCCUCAAAUUACCCACUUCAUUUGCUACACACUUAAAAACGCCCGCCUUUAGUUCUCCCACAAUGAAGUUUCCUAAAUAUUGUAUUUAAAGUACCGCACAAUGGAAGACUGGAAACUCAGUCCCUCGCCCAUCGAGUGACUCACGUCUCCGUUGAUGGUGCCGGCGUAGCUGCCCAUCACAGAUUGGGUGCAGGCAGAGCCCACAUGCUGCAUCGGACUCUGCGAGGCCACGAGACACAAUAACGAGUUGGCAGACCAUGAAGGCUACUUCCUCAGCAAGUUGAGAGUGCGGCCUACAGCAUAUUUCUCAGAUACUUGACAAUUCACCAUUCAAGGGCCAUAAGAAGUUAUGGCAGAGGUCAUCAGUCUAACAUCGCCCAGUAAAAAGAUGUGGUAAACAGCAGGUAUCCAAUAAAUUAUUAACUGCUAAUGAGAAAA